GAUGAACGCUGGCGGCGUGCCUAAUACAUGCAAGUCGAGCGAACAGAUGAGGAGCUUGCUCCUCUGACGUUAGCGGCGGACGGGUGAGUAACACGUGGAUAACCUACCUAUAAGACUGGGAUAACUUCGGGAAACCGGAGCUAAUACCGGAUAAUAUAUUGAACCGCAUGGUUCAAUAGUGAAAGACGGUUUUGCUGUCACUUAUAGAUGGAUCCGCGCCGCAUUAGCUAGUUGGUAAGGUAACGGCUUACCAAGGCGACGAUGCGUAGCCGACCUGAGAGCGUGAACGGCCACAGUGGAACUGGGAGACGGGCCAUACUCCUACGGAAGGCCGCAGAGGUGAAUCUUCCGCAAUAGGCGAAAGCCUGACGGAGCACCGCAGCGUGCGUGAUGAAGUCACUCGGAGCGUAAAACUCUGUUAUUAGGGAAGAACAAUUGUGUACGUAACUAUGCACGUCUUGACGGUACCUAAUCAGAAAGCCACGGCUAACUACGUG
rnacentral:rRNA from 1 species